rnacentral:lncRNA from 10 species
AAGUCUGUUGGGGACAAAAUCUGGUGGGAGACCCAGAAGGUCAAGCUGCUUUAGAAAGAGCUCAACCACUGACUUUCCUCUUUUUGACCACAUGACUCUUCCAGGUAUAAAAGCCUGCCGUUGGUGGAAAAGGAAAAGGUGGUCCAGUUAGACAAGAUGCCACCGGCUUCUGAAACCAGACAUCUUUGAAAACCCACCCAUCUACCUGCAGGAAAAGGCAAGGGACCUGACCUCGCCUGGGCUCAGGGAAGAGGUUGCUGGGAUCAUAACCCCAGGAAGAGACGGGAUGGAAGGAGAGCAUGCAGGGAGCAGAGGACAGGCUACUCUCCAAGGAGGAGAGGGAAGAGGCCACAGAAAUGGAAAAGGGGCCAGGACAAGUCAGUGGAGAGAUGGUCAGGGCCUGGCGAGGAGGAGCAGGACAAAAGCGGUGGAGCUCAGCCCCGUGGCGGCAGGGCCACUCCCAUUCAUCUGGUCCUCUACUUCUGAAGUUCUCGAAUGCAGAAUGAGAUGUACAGAUGGGCCAGCAGGUGAUAUGCUAUCUGUCAUAGGUUAAGGCCUCAUUAUUUUAUUCAUUUUUAAACUUUUUUUUUUUUGAGACAGGGUCUUGUUCUGUCGCCCAGGCUGGUUUGCAGUGGUGCCACCAUGGUUCACUGUAACCUUGAAGCCCCUGGGCUCAAGUGAUCCUCCUGCCUCAGCCUCCAGAGUAACGAGGACUACAGGUGCACACCGCCAUGCCCAGCUAAUUUCUUAACGUUUUGUAGAGAAAGGCUCUCACUGUGUUGCCCAGGCUGGUCUUGAACUCCUUGACUCAAGCAAUCCUCCUGUCUUGGCUUCCCAAAGUGUUGGGAUUACAGGUGUGAGCCACUGCUCCCAGCCACAAGUUUUAUUUUAAAUGUUUACCUUUCAAUGAUCACUUCGAGGAGAUUUAAGCUUACUCUUUCUUUUUUUUUUUUCUUGAGAUGGAGUCUUGCUGUGUCGUCC